rnacentral:rRNA from 1 species
UACGUAGGGUGCAAGCGUUGUCCGGAAUUAUUGGGCGUAAAGAGCUCGUAGGCGGUUUGUUGCGUCGGCUGUGAAAUCCCGAGGCUCAACCUCGGGUCUGCAGUCGAUACGGGCAGACUGGAGUACUGCAGGGGAGACUGGAAUUCCUGGUGUAGCGGUGGAAUGCGCAGAUAUCAGGAGGAACACCGGUGGCGAAGGCGGUCUCUGGGCAGUAACUGACGCUGAGGAGCGAAAGCGUGGGGAGCGAACAGG